AUGGGGCAAAGGGUGUUCCCUUUGUUGAAGGCCGUUCGAGCUUUUCCUGGGAGUAUGGCAUGGGUUACUUCAGCGCCUGGUACUCGAACAUUGGCUCGAGGUAUGAGUUGAUAGAAAAAAGCUAAAUGCUCUUAAGAUCGUCUCUCUGUCUGCAUUGUUGUGGUACCUAGGCUUUCUGACAGAUCUGAGCGUGCUAUUACGCAUUCAAUCUUCUUGACAUAAGUACUAGGUUAUCAAAGUGCAGGGAACGUAUCCGGCAUAGCUACAGGGGAACAUUUCCCUUGAUCAGACCAACUGGGGCUCUCAUGGUGAAGCGAACACUGUCAAUCUAACUAUUCUAUAACAACUAUCAAACUAAUUCUAUGACCAUUGUAGACCUUUAAAAAACACAGUUUAACAACCUUAAUGAGGGAAAUAUAAUCUAAUCAAAGUAUGGAUUUACCAGGCACAGAUUUCAAGGUAUGCUAUGCUCUGGAAGAACAGUACUGUUUUUCUAUCUAUGAUCAGAUCAUCUGACGUUCUAUAAGCGAAAGUCAUUCCUCUAGUUUUGUGAAUGGAGUGAUAGCCCUUCUCCGACCCUUACUGCCCAACCUGAGAGCGGACAGCUAAUGCGUUCCACUUAUUGAACAGGGUUCUAUGGUCGGUCCGUGACCCCUGGAUGCCGAAGGCGUCCUUGGGGUAAUCUCGUAGUUCCUACGGGGUGGAGAUGAUGGGGUCGGUCCAUGGAUUUUCCUUCCUUUUGCCGUAUUUCGCUCAAAGGGUUGAAGGGAGAUAGUGCAUCAAGCUGUUCGCAAGGGCCAACUUGAUCCUCUUCCCCAGGGAUCCCCGAUAAGGGAAC
rnacentral:lncRNA from 1 species